rnacentral:rRNA from 1 species
AUGUCAAAACGAGAAGAAAAGCAUCUCAUCGACGAACUCAUUGAAUUCCUUGAUGAAAAGAGGUGCCUCAUGGUAAUUGAUGACACGUGGGAUGAAAGUGCGUGGGAUUUUAUCAAGCGGGCUUUCUCUAAGAACAGUAUUGGAAGUCGGUUAAUCAUGACAACCCGCAAUGUCGGUGUUGCUGAAGCAUGUUGCUCUUCAAGUCAUGAUAUUAUUUAUCAUAUGAAACCUCUUUGUGAGGAUGUCUCAAGAAGGCUUUUCUACAAAAGAAUAUUUUCUCAUGAGAAAGAAUGCCCUCAUGAAUUGGUGGAAGUAUCUGAAAACAUCUUGAAGAAAUGUGGUGGAAUACCAUUAGCAAUUAUUACCAUAGCAAGUCUUCUAUCCAAUAACCGCCAGAUGAGAACAAAGGACCAGUGGGAUGCGGUGCUCCAUUCCAUUGGCCGUGGACUCAAAGAAAAUCGCAAUGUAAAGGAGAUGAAGAAGAUAUUAUUAUUCAGCUAUUAUGAUCUACCUUCUUAUCUUAAGCCAUGUUUACUGUAUCUAAGCAUCUUUCCAGAAGAUCACCUGAUCAUCAGAGCCAAGUUGAUAUUGAACUGGAUAUCUGAAGGUAUCGUUUAUAGUGAUGAAGAAGAAACUAGCUUAUAUGAGCUUGGUGACAGCUACUUCAAUGAGUUAGUAAACAGAAGUAUGAUCCAGCCGAUAGGUAUUGAUGACGAAGAGAAAGUAAAAGCUUGUCGUGUACAUGACAUGGUGCUUGACCUCAUAUGUUCAUUGGCUAGUGAAGAGAACUUUGUCACUAUAUUGAAUGGCACCAAGAGGAAAAUUUCUGACUCCCAAAGCAAGGUCCGAAGAUUGUCGAUCCAAAAUAGCAGUGUAGAAGUGGAUACCAUCAGUAUGGCUCAAGUAAGAUCAAUUUCCGUUUUCACAAAUGAUAAUGUUGACCAACUGUUCAAAGUUUCAAGCUGUCAAGUUUUGCGUGUGUUGGAUUCAGAACAUUGUCCUACUCUGGAUACUUGGAAUUUUUUGCAUUUGAGGCAGCUACGAUUGAGAGAUUAUGGAGGUAAGAAGCUUCCAAUGGAAAUGGGAAAGCUAUUGUUUUUGCAACUCCUGGAUAUUAGUGGAACAAGUGUAAUAGAAAUACCGUCAAGUGUUUUUGGACUUAAACGUCUGAUGUACUUUGACAUUGGCUGGGUUUUUAGUGUGAAGCUCCCGCCUGGGGUUGGUAACUUAACUUCCCUAGAAGUGCUAAAGGGGUUGGCAGUGGGUAAAAUGCAAUCUUAUGACUGGUGUAAUCACCAUGUUGCGAAAGAGCUGGGCAACUUGACCAAGCUGAGGGUGCUCCAUAUUUUCUUGAUAAUUUUGGAUGAGAGCAUAGCUAAAACUCUGGUGGAAUCCCUAAAUAAUCUCCACAAAUUGCAAGUGCUAGAUAUUGCUGGUCACAAAGGGAGACAUCUCAAUCUCAUGCACGAAGGCUUGGUGCCGUCUCAACAACUCCGUAAAGUGUUAAUUACAGGUUGCUCAGCAUGGACACUGCCGGCAUGGAUUAAUCCUUCAUCGCUUCCUCUCCUGUCGUAUCUGGAAAUAACUGUGAGUGAAGUGCGACCGGAGGACAUCCUGCUUCUUGGGACGUUGCCAGCCCUUCGUUAUCUCGAUCUAAGCGAUGAUGGAUAUUGGUCCCAACAUGAGUCAGUAAAGUGGGACCAGAGGGUAACGGAAAUGGAGAAGUCUGUUGUUACUGCUGAUGCAUUUCCAUGUGUGGAAAAGUGCUACUUCCGUGGUAUCGCCAUUGUGCCGUCUAUAUUUCCACGAGGAGCCGCACCAAGGCUUAAAGAAUUGAAGUUCAGCUUCCCAGCUAGGUGGAUCGGCCGUGGUGACAAUGAUUUAAGCAUGGGGCACCUCCCCUCCCUCGAGAAAGUCCAGGUUACCGUUUGGUUUAGGGAAGCCAGCGAUAAGGUGGUGGAGGAAGCAGAUGCGGCUCUGAGGGCCGCAGCGGAAGACCAUCCCAAUCGUCUCGUCAUUGAAAUCUACAAAUAG